GUCCCUCUAGGGACAUUUGAUAAAAUUAGAAUGAUAUACAGAGAAAAUAAGCAGGACCUUUGCACAAGAAUGACACAUACACAUUGAAUAAUGGUCCAAUAAUAG